UACAGAGACCUCAAGCGUUAUCCGGAAUCAUUGGGCGUAAAGCGUACCGAUCGGUGGUGUCACAAGUCAGAUGUGAAAUCCCAAGGCUCAACUUUGGGACUGUCAUUUGAAACUGUUACGCUAGAGGGGCAAAGAGGAAGCUGGAACGAACGGUGUAGUAGUGAAAUGCGUUGAUAUCGUUCGGAACACCAAUAGCGAAGGCAGGCUUCUGGGUGCCACCUGACACUGCUAGGACGAAAGCGUGGGGAGCGAAUGGG
rnacentral:rRNA from 1 species